UACGGAGGAUCCGAGCGUUAUCCGGAUUUAUUGGGUCUAAAGGGAGCGUAGGUGGAUUGUUAAGUCGGUUGUGAAAGUUUGCGGCUCAACCGUAAAAUUGCAGUUGAAACUGGCAGUCUUGAGUACAGUAGAGGUGGGCGGAAUUCGUGGUGUAGCGGUGAAAUGCUUAGAUAUCACGAAGAACUCCGAUUGCGAAGGCAGCUCACUGGACUGCAACUGACACUGAGGCUCGAAAGUGUGGGUAUCAAACAGG
rnacentral:rRNA from 1 species